rnacentral:rRNA from 1 species
UACAGAGGGUGCAAGCGUUGUUCGGAAUUAUUGGGCGUAAAGGGCGCGUAGGCGGUUCGGCAAGUCUCUAGUGAAAUCUCAGGGCUCAACUCUGAGUCUGCUGGGGAAACUGCCGGGCUUGAGUGUGGGAGAGGAGAGUGGAAUUCUCGGUGUAGCAGUGAAAUGCGUAGAUAUCGAGAGGAACACCAGUGGCGAAGGCGAGUCUCUGGACGACCCCUGACACUGAGGCACGAAAGCUAGGGGAGCAAACAGG